GUGGCGCACGGGUGAGUAACACGUAGGUAAUCUACCUUUGGAUUGGGAAUAACACCGAGAAAUCGGUGCUAAUACCGAAUAAUGCAGCGGCACCGAAUGGUGACAGUUGUUAAAGCGGGGGAUCGCAAGACCUCGCGUCUAAAGAGGAGCCUGCGGCGGAUUAGCUAGUUGGUAAGGUAACGGCUUACCAAGGCGAUGAUCCGUAGCCGGCCCGAGGGGGCGGUCGGCCACACUGACACUGACAUACGGGUCAGACUCCUACGGGAGGCAGCAGUCGGGAAUUUUGGGCAAUGGGCGAAAGCCUGACCCAGCAACGCCGCGUGAAGGAUGAAAUCCCUCGGGAUGUAAACUUCGCAAGAACGGGAAGAAUAAGUCGGUGCUAACACCAUCGGCGAUGACGGUA
rnacentral:rRNA from 1 species